rnacentral:rRNA from 1 species
CGCGUAGGUGGUAGUGCAAGUCUGGGGUGGAAUCCCAGGGCUUAACCCUGGAACUGCCUUGGAAACUGUAUUACUUGAGUCGGUGAGGGGAGGGUAGAAUUCCUGGUGUAGCGGUGAAAUGCGUAGAUAUCAGGAGGAAGGCCUGUGGCGAAGGCGGCCCUCUGGCGCUGAACUGACACUGAGGCGCGAAAGCGUGGGGAGCAAACAGGAUUAGAUACCCUGGUAGUCCACGCCCUAAACGGUGGGUACUAGGUGUAGGGCUCGUAAGGGUUCUGUGCCGAAGCGAAAGCAUUAAGUACCCCGCCUGGGGAGUACGGCCGCAAGGUUGAA